CAACUUUCAACAACGGAUCUCUUGGCUCUCCCAUCGAUGAAGAACGCAGCGAAAUGCGAUAAGUAAUGUGAAUUGCAGAAUUCAGUGAAUCAUCGAAUCUUUGAACGCACCUUGCGCCCUUUGGUAUUCCGAAGGGCAUGCCUGUUUGAGUGUCAUUA
rnacentral:rRNA from 1 species